rnacentral:rRNA from 1 species
GAUGAACGCUGGCGGCGUGCCUUAUACAUGCAAGUCGAGUGGGUUUAGACCCACGGCAAACGGGUGAGUAACACGUAGGUACUUUCCUUGUCACAGGAAUACCCCUCCGAAAGGAGGGCUAAUACCUGAUGUGAUCGCAAGAUUACAGGGUAUCCGCACGGAUUCCCGGACAAGAAGAGGCCUGCGGCCUAUCAGCUAGUUGGCGGGGUAAAUGCCCACCAAGGCUAUGACGGGUAGCUGGUCGUAUGAGGAUGAUCAGUCACAUGGGCACUGAGACACGGGCCCAACUCCUACGGGAGGCAGCAGUAGGGAAGUUUGCGCAAUGGGCGAAAGCCUGACGCAGCGACGCCGCGUGCGGGAUGAAGGCCUUCGGGUCGUAAACCGCUUUUAUAAGGGACGAACUUUGACGGUACCUGAUGAAUAAGAGGUUGCUAACUCUGUG